GCUUCUUCAGUAUUCUUCCCUUUUGAUACUGAAGAUUCAGGAGCAAUCACCCCCUCAGUAUUCCUCUCAUGCUGCAUACUAGCAAUAAUUCUGUCAAUCUUUGAUAAGGUGGUCCCAAGAGGACCACCACUACUUUCAGCCUCUUGAGGCCCUUUCAGCAGCUUCGUCAAUAGCAGAGGGGCAAUUCUCUUUUGUAUUACCGGUGGGGGGUAUCGAGGACUGCCCUCAUCAUAGUCAUCAUGUGUCGCCUCUUCUGGGCAUUUCCCCCACCAAGAGACGAAGGAACCUUUUCGAUUUCUGCUUCGACAACUUCCCUAGCACCUUUUUCUUAUGGCUGUAAUAAGCUGGUUAGCUCCGAUCCUAGAGGACUUAGCAUGGUGAAAGGCAAGGGUUCAGUCAUUACCUCUAGGAUUUCUAUCACACCAUGGAAGACACCAAAAGAGUUUCGAUGUUACGCUUCGGCAGAUAAGACUUUUCUUCCUCAGCAUGGUUCGACUCCAUAGUUUUCCGUUUCUUGGGUACCGAAGGUUUCGGUGUCAUCUUAGAAAUUUCAAUUUCUCCAAAAACAUUUGGUAUUUUUGAUAGCUUUUUAUUUUUAUCCUUCUCGAUGGAUCUUAUUGCUUGUCUUUUUAGAAUACUUACAACCCUCUUCUUCUUUACUCCCCUAGCCUCUUCGUCAAGUCUAUCAUAAUCAGGAUAUUCAAAGCCGAGGGUAUCCAUCACUCAAUUUAAUCUUCGUUUCUCCUAAGUGCCGAAGGCAGCAGUCAUCAACUGGUUUUCUUUCUUAGUAUAGUUCCCAAGAAUUUCAUUGCACAUUCUUUCGAUCACUUCUAGUGAUUCGGCACAAGGGCCGCUGAAGGUUUUUUGGAACUUAAAGCGGUAUGGUAGCCUAACAAGCUCAAGAUUAUUUCCUUCGUCUUUCCUCUGUGACAUUCCUCAUAUGCCUGAUGUCGGGAAAUUUUUAUUCGCUAGAUAUUCUUGCAUUAAAUCCAGAGUACUAAUGUGCGCAGCCACAACUCUGAAUUGAACUUUAGCUAACUGGCAUGGGGAGCCGAGUUGCAUAUUGCAUAUUGGUAUUGUCAUGCCGAAGCUCAGCUUUAACGGACUCAUCACCGUACUCAUAAGUUUUUCUCUCUUCUUCCCAUCGGCUUUCACAUAGAACCACUCAUUGGUCCAGCCACUAGGCCAUUUAGUACGAUAUCCAAUCACUGGAGCAUUUGUGUCCUUUCGAUAGGCGAAGUUGUAGCAUUCGAAGUUCUUGUGGAGGUUGUCCACCCUAGCUUUGGUCUGAUAGUGGAGUUCAUGAACUCUAUAGAACCCUUCAGCAUUAGCACUCAUUCCUUCACUAUGCAAAGCUCAAAUAUAUACACUGAGUCUAACUAUGGCAUUUGGAGUGAGUUGAUGAAGAUAAAUUUCAAAUCACUUUAAAAUUUCACCGACCAUCAUGUAUAGAUGGAACGUAAGCCCAACCCAGAAGAAGCUUUUGAAAACUAUAACUUCAUCAUCCUUUGGUUCUGGGAUAACUUUGUCCCCAGCAAAUCUUAUCAGUCCAUCGUCAUUCUUCCCAAAAUACCCAAGCUUCUUCAUUAAAACUAUGUCUUCUGCUUUUACAAUAGAUUUUCCAAAUUCAACAUGACUGGGCUUGCUUGGACUCAAGAUACCAUCGUCUACCUCAUCAUCACUACUAGCUUCGGCAUCAACAUUAUCAGCUUUGGCAUUAACAAUGUCCUUCUCAGGAAAAGAUCCUUCUCCCUCUUGAACAACCAAUCUAGAACGCUUCAUAACCUCCGAAAUUGGAGUUGUCUCAUUGGUCUCGAUCUCUCCACCCUCAUUUGUCAGUCUAGCAGUAGACCUAAUCCUAGCCAUUUGAGUUCUUAAGACGAAGCUAACUUUUGAUGCUUGUUCGAAGACUAGUAAACGAACGCACAGAGCUCAAACAACUUCGACUUUAGUAAAAAAAUUCAGUAGCACAACGAUGCGAUAGCAUGGAAUGUUGUAAUAACUUCUUACCAACCAAUCUAUUUAUAUAGUCCUACUGGUGAAGAAGGAGAACCGCCGUGCCACUCAUACUAACUUAUCGUUGGACCAACACAGGUCAUAACUUUUUUAUUCGUUUUUUAAUAACAACCACAGAGAAGGUGUUUUUCGGACCUUCGACAUUUAGAAGCCUUUGUGUGUUUCGCGGAUCAAGCUCAUUAUGAAAAACGACCUAGCACCGCAAAGGGCUACUGUUGGGAUCUCCUUCUCUACCGAUGGUCCUCAAGAUGAAAAAACCAUUUGUAAUUUUUUUGACAAAGAUAUGUCAAAGGAACUGAGUGCCAAAGCUGUAACAAACACGAAGGAAAUGCAGCGAAGGUGAUAUAUGAAAUCAAGCCAGCAAUGGAAAGACAUGUUUAUCCUUGAUAUUUGUAUUUGAGUAAUGUAUAGAUAUCAGGGUCAUAAUUGUACUUUUUCUUGCGCUGCAUCCCAUGCCUAUAAAUAGAUGAACAGUACCCACGUACUAUUCACGCUCGAUCGAGAGGUUGUAUUUGUAUUCUCUCCUUCGUGCAAGCCGAAGGUACAAAUGUAAUAUAUAUAACUUGUAUCACUUUAUUAAAAUAUAAUACCAAUCUUGACAAUAUUGUGACAUGCGAUAUGAAGUGAAUGAUGCUAAUAAUAUUACAUUGUAAUAUUAUUCCUAUGAAAUAUGAAGACUUGUUCUUCAUGACCUUCAUCUAAUAUUCAUUAUCUUUUGAAGAGGAUAAUGUUUCGAAGGACGAAGGUCCUUAACAUUUGACAUUUGUGUUGCCUUGUUUUUUAUUCGCAGCAAUAGAAAACAAGUAACCAACACUAACAUCUUUUUGGACGAGUUGCAUAGCAUGCCACCAGAACGAGACAUAGAGUUUGCCAAAGAGUUGGAACCGGGUACUGCACCUAUCUCAAAAAGGCCCUAUAGAAUGCCGCUAGUCGAACUGACCGAGUUGAAGAAGUAGUUGCAAGAAUUGUAGGACAAAGGUUUCAUCCAACCAAGUACUUCAACUUGGGGAUGUCCGGCCAUGUUCUUAAAGAAGGAUGAAAGCUUGAGGUUGUGCAUAGAUUAUCGCCCUCCCAAUGUGGUGACUGUCAAAAAUAAAUAUCCUUGCCUCAUAUCGUUGUUCUUUUUGAUCAAUUAGUUGGAGCUAAAGUGUUUUCCAAAAUAAACCUUUGCUCUAGCUAUCAUCAAAUUAUGAUCCAGGCAAAUGAUUUUCUAAAGACAGCUUUCUCAACCAGAUAUGGGCUCUGUGAGUAUCUGGUGAUCUCUUUCGAACUUACUAAUGCACCAGCAUACUUCAUGUACCAGAUGAAUUUAGUAUUCAUGCCUUAGAUGGACAAAUUCGUGGUGGUAUUUAUCGAUGACAUAUUGGUGUAUUCCAAGAGAGAAGAAGAACAUGUCAAGCAUAUUCGUAUAGGGCUUCAAUGCCACGAGAUCAUCACUUGUAUGCCAAGUUCUCCAAAUUUGCCAUCUGGUAAAGGAAAUCAAAUUCUUAGGCCACACGGUCCCCCAGGAAGGAAUAUUUGUUGAUCAAGAUAAGGUGCAAGAGGUAAUGCAUUAGAAUUCCACGACCACUAUUCACCAAAUUUAGAGUCUUCUGAAAUUAGCUGGAUAUUAUAGCUGCUUUAUUUUAGAUUUCUCUAGGAUCGCCAAGCCCAUGACAGAACUGCUAAAGAAGGGGGUUUAGUUUGAAUGGAGCCAAAAGUGUGAAGAUGCCUUCCACACCUUAAGGCAAUACCUAACCACCGCACUUGUAUUAUCUUAGCCCGAUAAUUCCAAGCCCUUCGAUGUGAAUUGUGAUGCUUCAGGCGCUGGACCUGGUUGUGUUCUCAUGCAAGACAACUAGGUUAUUGCUUAUGCAUCACGAGCACUCAUAUGUUAUGAGCAGAACUACCCAUUACAUGAUUUAGAGCUAGCAACAAUAGUACAUGCUCUAAAAAUUUGGAGACAUUACCUGAUGGGAGCUCAUUGCAAUAUUUAAAAUGACCAUAAGAGUCUCAAGUACAUCUACACUCAAGAUGAUCUCGACAUGAGAAAAGAAGAUAGUUAGAAUUGAUCAAGGAUUAUGAACUGGAAGUGCACUUUCACCUUGGAAAAGCUAACAUGGUAGCAGAUGCAUUGUACACACCCCGUCUAAUCCCGAACUGACGGUACUUACUCCUGGCAGCUCUCUAGGAUCAUAUAUUGUCCCCACAGACCAACACGGGUCUUUUGUGCGGACUUUGUCCUCACUCAUGUGCACCCGAGAAAACUUCUCGGUCGGUCACCCAUCCCAAAUUGCUCCAAGUCAAGAACGCUUAACUUGGAGGUUCUUUUGAAAUAGGCUUCUGAAAAAGAAGAUGCACAUUGUUGGUACGAGUACACUAUUAAUUCUAUUAAGCCUUGGACCAGGAUAUCACCAUCCUAGGGGCGAGGAUAUCAGAAUCCACCCCCCUUAAAAGACCGACGUCCUUGUUGGUCAACCCAAAUCCAGGAACCUCCCCUCUUAGCCAUGUCGGUGUAUCUAGUGUCGUCAUAUUCCAUGCCCUGUGACCACUCCGGGCCCACAUGCACCAUAUACCUGAUCCCUUAACCCAACACGCCCGUGAAACCGUGAGGGUCGACUCUGAUACCACUUGUAACACCGCGUCCAAUCCCAGACCAAUGGUACUUACUCCUGGCAGCUCGCUAGGGUCAUAUAUUGUACCCACAGACCAACACGGGUCUUUUGUGCGCACUUUGUCCUCACUCCUGUGCACCCGAGAAAACUUCUCGGUCGGUCACCCAUCCCAAAUUGCUCCAAGCCAAGAACACUUAACUUGGAGGUUCUUUUGAAAUAGGCUUCUGAAAAAGAAGAUGCACAUUGUUGGUAUGAGUAUACUAUUAAUUCUAUUAAGCCUUGGACCAGGAUAUCACCAUCCUAGGGACGAGGAUAUCAGAAUCUACCCCCUUAGAAGGUCGACAUCCUUGUUGGUCAACCCCAAUCCAGGAACCUCCCCUCUUAGCCAUGUCUCAGAGUCUAGUGUCGUCGUAUUCCAUGCCCUGUGACCACUCCGGGCCCACCUGCACCAUAUACCUGAACCCCUAACCCAACACGCCCGUGAAACCGCGAGGGUUGGCUCUGAUACCACUUGUAACACCCGUCCAAUCCCGGGGGCUGCUCAUGACCGUGAGCUCUGCUAGUAUACCAUUUUUACACUCUACUGAGGUUGUACCCUGUACCCACAAGUCAUGUUACCCAUCUGCCCCAGGGUUGUACGGGCCCCAUACACCUCUACCAAGGAAGCGAGGUAGGGUAACACUACAAGGCCUUUACAAAGUUCCACUAGCUUCCAAAAACCUGCUACAGUUUCUAGGAAGAGCAAUUGCAGGAAUCUCUCAUCUGACCGCCAUCGUAGCAAAAUCAACCCGAGAACCUCCGUACAUGCCUACUCCCCUACUGCCCUUGCCCCUUUCGAGUAAGGUAAUCUUCCACUAGCUUUCCUAAUUAGUCAGCCAAGGGUGUCCCAUUCCACCCUUAUGGUGGCACACGUUUCUCAAGUUAAGCUCCAUGUUCGAAUUAAAAUUAAUGAUCUUGACAUGAACAUAAACAACAUAACAGAAUAAUUGGAACAUGGAUAUAAUGAAAUAUUAUCCCAAAACCAUAUAAAGCAUUAGCAAAACUACCCAAAUGAUUCAGGGAUAAACAAGGUAAAAGAAUAAACAGUCUAGGGUGACCUAUUGGGUCCCAUCAAAAUUAAACCAAUGCAUGAAUAAGUGAUAUUAAAGAACAUUAUUAGGUAAAAAGUGGUCAUGGGCACAACUUACCUUCAAUGAGCUCCUGCUCAGCAACUUCUACCUGUUGAAACCCGAGAUCCUCUGCCACUGGCUCUUCUACUCGCCACAAUACAAACAAGCAUAAUAUAAAGGUGAAAUUAACAUCACGCCAAACAUGUAAACAAAAUACACAUUAAUAAUCUACAUAUUAAAAUAAGAUCACAGGAACAUGAAUCAUUAAUUUUGGAGUUAUAGGUUUCAAGUUAUGAAUUUCCAAAGGUUUUAUGUGCUUGGUAUAAGAUUGAUUAAGAAAUCAAUUUUAUUGUUGUUUUCAUGUUAAAACAGAGACACUAGGUGAUGAACAAUAAUACUACAAAAUUAUAGAAACUGGAAUGGAUCAAUUUGGACUUAAUAGGAAUUUUCUAGGGUUUAAACAAGUUUCUGCAAUUAAUUUAAUACUAAAAUCAUUUUCUAAUUGAUUUUCUUAGGUUUUCUAUUUCUCUGGUCGCGCACAAAAUAAAACUGAAAGCCAAGGGUUACAGCGCAAGAAAUCCCAAGACUCAGGGCAUUAUGCGCAGUACUGUGGGUUGAAUCUCAAUAAACCCAGGGGCUCUUAGGUUAAAUAGCCACAACGAAGGGGUAUCAGCAAUUCUGAGCCGACCGAUUAGACUUUAGUGGCCCAGAUUAGAUCUGCGCGGAUAAAAUCAGAGCGUCGCAGAUAACCAUCUGAUUGAGAACCAACGGCAAGGAUUUAAUGUAACAAUGACCUGCCCUCUACAACCGGAUUUCGUAUCAACGGUCGCAAACCGUUCCAGCCGAAACGCUCCGCUAGGUUUAACCACGGAUGCAGGAUAAGGAUCUAACGGUCGAUGCGGUUUUCAAAUCUUAGUCGCACAUAACUAAUCACAUGGCUGGGCGUCCCUCUCCUACCUCACGCCCAGAGCUAACCAGAACGCCCGCGCCUACGCCGAAGAUCUCGUCGGCGUGCGGCUAAACGGCUACCCAGCGCAUAAUAAUCUGAUCAGUCGGUGCCACACGAAGAUGGAGAGAAGGAGAAUUUGUUGGUGGUGCCCAAACCUCGAGAUAAGACGGUGUCGGCCCCGAUUACGCACAACGGCGAAAUAGCGGCGGUCCGCGACCCCGGCGAGGGAAAUUCCAGUAGCCUGCGGUCGCGCCUCGAGCGUCCAUGUCUUGAAUUGCCCUCGGAGGUCGACGACGAACUUCACCACGCAGUACAAGGCCCCAGCCGACGGCUGUCGGUGUUUGGAGCCCGACCGCGCACCCGGAGUUACCCCUCGUGGUGCUUUUGGGUAGGAUGGUGUUGUUGACUGUAACUCAAUGGUUCGUGCGAGACGCACGAGAGACGGUAGGCGAUUUUCUACAGGUUCGGGCCGCUUUGAGAUGCAUAACACCCUACUUCCUGGUAAGGAUCUUUAUGUGGUGGGUUACAAGGGAAGUCUCCAGUAUGGAGAAAGCUAGUGAGCUGAGUAGAUGGUUCAUGAAUCUGAUGGGGUACCCCCUAGGCCUUAUAUACUAGAAAAUUCACUGAUAUGGCAGGUCUGGUAGAGGCGGUUACAGUAAUCUCAACUUCAAAUCUUUCCCCUUUGGAACUGGUAAGUUCUACGAUUCCCUUAUCAUAGUGUAUAACUGCUUUAGCUUUCCUUAACCAGGACAUCUCGAGUAUCAGAUCUAUACUGCUUUCUUCUAGUACUAUGGGUGUAGACCGGAAUUCCCUUCCCAUAAUUGUCAGUGUUAAUCUUUGUGUCAUAUAGUUUGCUUCAAUAGACCCUUUAGGUGUAAUUUCUACCAUAGGUGUUUUCAUGUUUUGCAGUGGUAAUUCAUUGGUAAUUGCAAAUCGAGCAGACAUAAACGAAUGUGUAGCUCCAGAAUCAAAUAAUAAUGCUGCUGGAAUUGCAUUAAUGUAAAAUAUACUGAUAGCGAUGUCUGCACCAUCAGUAGUGGCCUCAGCACUGGCUUGAUUAACCCUAGCAAUGCUGAAUCCCUUGCCAGGAGUCUGUUGCUUGUUCUGUGCUGAUGCACUAGAAUUCCCCGCUGGACAAGCAUUAGCAUAAUGCCCAACCUGACUGCACUUGAAGCAUGUAGGGCCUGUCUUCUGUCCUAUAGGCCUUGUCGGGGUGCCAGUGGGGGCAGCCUGACGAGUGGGAGGUGUUCGUGGAGACCCCUGUGGAGUGUACUGAGCUGGGCGUGGUCCUCCUCCUGGACGAGUUGGUGUACCCUGUGACGGAACGUAGCGAGGAUGAACACUAUUGAUUUGUAAUACCCACUUUGUAAGAAAAUCUAAAAGGAGAAAUUAUAUUCCUUUAUAUACAUAUGUGCCAUCUCUAUUUAUCAUUUCAUGUGGACACCUCACUUAAACAAAUAAAUGAUUAACAAAGGACACCACUAAGUCAUGCAUCAUGCUGGUUUUUCAUUUUGUGUGCAUUUUGUGGCAAUGUGACAAUAAUGUAAAAAUAAAUAUGAUAAUACCCAAAUUAGAAUUUAAAUUCUAAAGAAAAUUCUAGAAUUGAAACAAGAGAAUGAAAUACCUACAUAUAAGAUCAAAUAAAUAUAUAAGUUAAUCAAAUCAGCUUCAUAUUGGUAUUUGGAAUUAUACAAUUGAUUUAAGUAUGAACUUCACACUUAUAAAUUCAAAUUUGGGAUUUAAAUUUGAACUUAAAAGACAAAAGAAAAGGGAAAGUAGAAAUAUAAAAUAAAAAUAAAAAGAAAAAUGAAUAAAGCGCCUAACUGGGCCCUGACCUCAUUUUCGGCCCAGUACACAAACUCCCCCGCACGGCCUAGUUUUCCUCCUAGCACCCAGCGCUAACAUGCGGACCCCGUGGGUCAAUCCCUACGCGCGCGCGUGCGUCUAACGUCCCGCCGUUAAGUGGGCCCCCUCUGUCAUCAGACCCCCGUUUCUUCCGCUCGGCUUGCGUGUCACUAGCACUGGGGCCCACUAGGCAGUCUCUGGACCACCGUGCACGACUCCGUCUUCCCCGCACUCCCCACCUCUGUAAUAGAUCGCACAGUGCUCGCCGCCAUUAUCGGGGGAGCGUGGGCGACCUUCCCCCAUCCUAUGUCGGGUGUGCGGGAGAUAAAUUGAUGCCCUCUGCGCCCUUCUCCACUUCCCCGUCUACCUCGCGCCGACCCUAGCCAUCUACUGCUACUGCCCGACGGCGCCGCAACAUUAGUCCACCAGCGCUGCCGUGGACUCGCACCUACACCGCCGCUCUAGGGUUCACGAGUGGUCUGGGGGUUCGCCUGAGUUGGGCGGUUGUUUUGGUGGCGCGGUGGAAUUGGGAGAUCGACUGUGGCACCAUCGAUUCCUCGUUGGAGCCGCGUACUCAUGGCGGGGCCACCAUUCGUCAUGGGGGGAGGUCUACAUAGCUUGAUUACAGGUAUGGCACACCUCGUGAAGUUCGCCUCGUCGUCCUUCAUGCGUAGUGUGGCGGAGCUGCUAGAAUUAUUCUGACUUAAGUGCCUAGGUCCCACCUUAGAGGCUAGACCACACUUAAAUGGGAAUAACCCGUCAAUCCCUCGGAUCUAGUCCGACGAGGCCACUGACAGGAUCAAGUACCACAAUCUCAUUCGAGGGUGAGUCACAGAGCAAAUACAAUAAAACGUAAAACCAUACAUUAAGGAAUAUUAAAUUAUUACAUCACCAUCGGAGUUUUGCAAAAGUAGUCAUCAUUGUUCGAAGUGCAGCGGAAUAAAACUAACGAUAGAUAAAUGGAGGGAUGGGGAAGCCUGUCCCAUCACUCCUCAUGCUCCUGUUCAGCCGAGGCGAGGUCCCACUCGACAGUCCAACCCAGUGGCAAGAUGGACGACCAAGUCACUCCAGCAACCAUGUCCUCCAAAGAACCUGUAAAAUUGUGCCACAAGCAAGGUUGAGUAUACUAAUACUCAGCUAGACUUACCCGGUGUGAGGAGUCUACUGCUCUACCUCUAGACAUGCAGUUGUUUGGAUGUGGGGUUUGGUUGCCAAAAGCACUAGCUGAGUUCUAAAUCAAGUUUUAGCUUCGUCAAAUUUAAGUGUGACUCUCUUAAGGCUAAAUAUGUACUAUCUACUCAUACAUAGUAGCAAACAUUUUUAGCAAUCAACAUCUUGUAUCAACUCAUCAUAUUUCCACUUGUUACUCAGUGCAGUACAAUGGAUCAAGAAGUCUCAUUAGCUGCGAGAAGCAGACGAUUCGAAUCGAGUUUUUAUCCUUGCAAGGUAAACCUAAACACACGACAUGGUGAGGCACUCCGUCCCCACACACAUCAACCGUCCCCAUCGAUUCCCCGUCAGCAGAGAGGGGCUGACCUCCUUGGCGUACAAUGCCUCACUGACCCCGACUGCCGUCGUGCAGUAACCGCACUUGUACCCACCAUAACCAGAAUGGGAGACCACGUCUCAGGUCGCAUGAGGAGGGCAAUCUGCUGCCAGGUUCAAUCAGGUACUAGGCUUACCGAUUUACCAUAUUUCUCGGUAUGUGUUUAGUACGUUCAAAUGCUUGACACAGGUAUCCGCACGUUAAUCCUUAUUCCAAUUUCCCGUCUCGUAGACAACCAAUCCCCAUGGAUUGUUGUCCACAGACUAGUAUCAUGAUGAUAUGAAAGUGGAUACAACCAAUUCCUGAUCUCGCGCGAGUGCUAGAAAAAUCACUCGUCUUCUACCGAGAUCCUAAUUAAAUAAAGCAGCUACUCGACCUAGCAUACUAGUAUUCAUCUCAAAAGGAAUCCUGAGAUCAUGCAACUAGGGUUUCAGUCAACUCCUACACCUAAGUGCACAAUCGAUCCUACAAUCAUUAAGUAUAAUAAAAUAGCAUAAGUAACAGGUUAUGCAUAAACCGGGGCUUGUCUUCCAAGGCAGUGGCAGGCAGAUCCUCUGGUGCAGGCUCUGGUGCUGGAUCCGGGGCUACCUCCUGAGCAGCUCCUUGCUCCGGCACGAGGACGUACUCUCCGUCAGCGAGGUUACAGUCUAUCGAAAUGCAAUGAAUAUGUAUGUCAUGAUUAUGCAGGAUUUAAUAACAUUAUGCUAAAGGAAGAAAAACUAAGUUAGUUUGCAACUUAGGGUUUCUUGGUCAUACAAGGCUUUUAGUGGUUUAUGCUUAUCACUCCAGGUUUAGGUUUUGUUAAGGAUAAGCAUAGUGGAUUGGUAUUUCCUUUAUAUAUUUCAGUGGACAAUUUACAAAGGGUUUUAGGAUGACACUAAUUUCCAUUAUUCAUUUUCCCUUUCUUUAUUUUCUAUUUAUGAAUUCUAGUGUAGGUUUGAACUACAACAGUGAAUUAACUCUUUCCAAAAAUUCUGUAAAAAUUUCAGUGGCUUGCCAUUGGUCAAUAUAGCCUGUUCUAGGAAUUUGAGGUUCAAAAUAAAAAAGGCUAUGCUCUAGACAAAAAUAACAAAAGUUGUGUAAAUGGGCCACUUUGCAUUACAACUCUUAAUUAGGGGUGGGUUCUGUCCUAAGGGUUAUUUUUGUUGGCAUCUAACAGUAAUAAUAAGCUUCUGUGCCAAAAAUCACAGAAAGCUAAGGGAUGGUUAUUUAGUUGUGAUUUUCCAAAGUUUAAUGCCAAAAAGGCACUUUCCACUACCUUGUUAUUUGAAAAAUGUCAAACAGCAGAUUUCAUAUUUUUCCUAUGUUCUUCAUAACAAAAGAUUAACUAUUCCAAAGGUUGGGGUGUUUUCACCUUGGGGUUAUUUUUGUAGGGUUUUUCUAAGUUUUCCUUAUUUUCUUAAAAUAAAAGGUAUCCUAUUUAUUUUAUACUAAACCAGGGUAUAAUCAAUUUUUCUAGUAAACUAUACUGAACAAGUAUACUAACAAAAAUAUGGGGGCUCCCUGGUUCUUUAUUUAAAUCACCUUUCGUAUUUUCUUUAACCUUAAGCAUAAUGUAAAAUAUAUGGCAAACUCUACCUCAAUGGGGUGUAUAGAGGGGUUUAGCAUUUUUAAAUAGGUCAGUAGGUGGUCAUGCACUUCUCCAAAUUUUGUUAACCUCAGUUAAAUAGUGCAACUAUUUUUCUUCCUAUUAUUUAGCUUUUGGCCAAAUCAGUAUUUAAUUUAGAAUCCUAAAGUUUUCUGUAGCACAUAGGGGUUUUAUAUUUUGCUUCAGUAGUUUAUAUUAUUUAAGAUCUGACAAAAUUGGUUUGAGUCAAUUUGGAUGAAUAAAACAGAAGAUAUGAAUUGUUCAAGUGCUGUUUUUAUUUUAAAUCAGAUUUAAUUAAAGGUUUCCUGGAAAACCACUUUGCACCGAAGUCCUUGGGUUAUUUCCAAACUAACUCUCUCAGUUAUACCCCCGCGCUACUAUUCAUCCGAGUCACUGACAUUGCGCAAAACCCCAUAGCUUUCUCUUCUUCUCCCCCGUGGUCCCUCCCUAGGUUUAAAUAGUACCCGCGAGAAGAAAAGGGUGGUGCGGCUUACCGGCGGCGAGAGAGGUCCGGCGAGGUUGGCUCCGGGAGGUUCUGGCGGUCACAAUGGUGUACAGCUUGACGGCGGGGGUGGCCGGAAUCGCCCGGUCCACGUGCGCAGGCGGGUGCUCUCGUCGGCGGUGGGAGCUCUGGCCAAACCACGGCGAUCUAGUUCAAUCCAAAGGCACAGUGAGCUUCACGGGAUGACGUAGAGGCUGUGUGCACAAGGAAUCGAAGAAUGGAGUAGAGGAUUACCCGGUCUACGCUCGCGGGCGGUCGGAUGGAGUCCGGCGACCGUGGACUGGCCUCUCCGGCGAAGCAAACUCCGAUUCCUCGCUCGGGGAGCUUCAGCAAGGUGUGCUCAGUCUUCUCCGAGGGCUGGACAGGGUUGGGAAGGGUCCUGUUGGCCGGUCUACGAUGGCAGGGGGAUCGGGCGGCCGCGGACACGCUCUGCACAGGCAAACGCCGGUGGGGUUGGGCUCCGGUGAGGUCGAGCGCGUGCGGAGGGGUACGGUCAAGGUCCCUGGGGGCUUUAUAGGCGCGGGCGCGGGCCAUGGCACCGGCUGGGCUUUGGCGCGACGCGGGGCACGCGGGGCGCGCGUCGGGCGUGCUCUAGCGAGCCCAGAGUGCGUCGAACACGUGACCAUUGCUUUCUGCCCUUGUUCUUGCGCCUGCUGAGCAGCCAAACGUGUGAAUCUCGCCCUAUGGCUUGUGUAAGAUUUCUUCCCUGCACCUAGGGCUACCUAGUUCAUGUAAGUUCCAAGGGAAGAUCGGGUCUGGUUUAGAAGAUAUGGUGGCGCCAAGUCUUGUCUGUCUGCACUGUUCAACCCGAGACAAAACAGGUGCCAACUCAUGUCAAACGGUCUUGGCUUGGGUUCAAACUCUUCUAGGGGGUUCCUUAGAUAAUUUAGGUCCUUUUUGCUAUUUAUACCCUGGGGUUUUGGUGCCAUUAGCUAGGUGAACACCCCUGAUCUCUAGAUUAGGGCUGAUUUUGGACUUAGAGGGAAUGGGUGUGAUUCCAUAGUGUUCUCUACUUGGGGGCUGAUUUAGGGGUCUUAUAGGGGUCUUUUUGUAAAGUUCCUUUGUUGUCUUUUGUAAACAUUUUGGUACUCUUAAACUUUGGUUAAGGUUUAAAUUAUGAAAUGUGCAUUUGCCUAAUCUUUCUCUCAACUAAAGGCUUCAAGAGAGAGGGGGUCCAAGGUUCAAUCCUCCCUUGCCCUAGGUGAUCAUUGCCUAAAAGCUUGGGUAAUACUUUGGUCCUUGGCAUUUCUUAACUCACUCAUGCUUCCAAGGUCUUAAGUACUCCCUCUCCUCCAAGUUUUAACCACAUGUGAUAAUAGGUAUAUGUGCCAUUAGGAAGCCAACACCUUGGUAACACCUGGGGUGUUACAGCCCUCCCCCCUUAAAGGAAUCUCGUCCCGAGAUUUUAGGUAGAGUCCCUUGGAGGGGUGCCGUGAAGGUGUGUUGUUGUGCUACCCUUCCCUUUAUCCAAGAUUCUCUUGUUAACUGCUCUUCGAAUGUCAUUCUCUUUGCAACUUCAGAAGGAAGCCCUUUUUAAGUUAAAUCCACAACUUAGACUAUCCUUAUUAUCUAAGUUUUUCUUAUAAUUGUAUUCAAAGGGCAGGUGGGGGUGGGGUUUUAAGUUAUGUACCGACUCCUUUAGGCAGAAAGUCGGGGAAGCGAGGGCGUAGAAAAUCCUCAGUCUCCCAUGUAGCUUCUACUGAAUGGUGACUCCACUAAACCUUAUACAUUAUGAUCGACCUUGCCCGCGUUGACCUUUCUUUCUGAUCCAAGACCUUGAUGGGGUACUCUUGAUAGGACAGGUCUGGUUCUAUCUCAAUGUCUGGUUCAGGUAGCACUUCAGUAGGUAAGCGGACACAUUUCCACAGCUGAGAUACAUGAAACACAUCAUGAACAGCUGACAUGUGAGGUGGCAAUUCCAAUUGAUAGGCCACGGAUCCACAACAUGCUUUGAUCUCAUAGGGUCCAAUGUAGCGAGAAGCUAACUUGCCCUUGAUCCCGAAUCUCUGGACACCCUUAUCUUCAAUCUGUGCCCUGACUAUUUGCUCUUGUAAUGUGGGCUCCACCGAGAUAUAGUUUAAAUCACCUGAAGAAACAACUUCCAGGUUUAGCUUGCACAAUUCAUCACACAGGGUGGUAACUCUCGCAUCCAUGUUCAUACAAUUGCACUAGGCCUUUCUGCUCAAGGCAUCUGCCACAACAUUGGCUUUGCCAGGAUGGUAAUGCACCUCCAAAUCAUAGUCCUUGAUUAAUUCUAACCAUCUCCUCUGCCUCAUGUUCAGAUCCCUGAGUGAAAAUGUAUUUGAGGCUCUUGUGAUUAGUGUAAAUGUUACAGUGAGCUCCCAUCAGGUAGUGUCUCCAUAUCUUGAGAGCAUGAACCACAACUGCUAAUUCCAGAUCAUGUGUAGGGUAGUUCUGCUCAUGGGGUCUAAGUGCUCGGGAAGCAUAAGCAAUUACUCUGUUAUCUUGUAUUAAGGCACAUCCCAAUCCAGUACCAGAAGCAUCACAAUAAACUUCAAAGGGCUUGGUGUUAUCAGGUUGAGCCAGCACUGGGGCUGUUGUCAAAUGCUGCCUUAGUGUAUGAAAGGCAUCUUCGUACUUUUGGCUCCAAUUAUACUUAACUCCCUUCUUCAACAGUUUAGUCAUUGGCUUGGCAAUUCUAGAGAAAUCCGGAAUGAAUCGUCGAUAGUACCCUGCCAAACCCAGGAAACUCCGAAUCUGCCGCACUGUGGUAGGAGGUUUCCAAUCCAUUACCUCUUGUACCUUCUCAGGAUCAACAGAUAUCCCAUCCUGAGAAAUUGUGUGACCCAAAAAUUUAAUUUCCUUCAACCAGAAUUCACAUUUAGACAACUUAGCAUAAAGAUGAUGAUCGCGAAGUCGCUGAAGCACGAUGUGCAGAUGCUCAGCAUGUUCGUCCUCAUUCUUGGAAUAGACCAGAAUAUCAUCAAUGAAAACGACCAUGAACUUGUCCAACUCUAGCAUGAAUACUGAGUUCAUCAAGUACAUGAAAUAAGCCGGGGCAUUGGUCAGCCCAAAAGACAUCACCAAAAACUCAUAAAGCCCAUAUCUGGUUGAGAAGGCCGUCUUGGGAAUAUCGCUGGCACGGAUCUUGAUCUGAUGGUAACCCGAGCGAAGGUCUAUCUUGGAGAACACUUUGGCUCCCACCAACUGAUCGAACAAAACAUCAAUGCGGGGCAGUGGGUAUUUGUUCUUCUGUAAAGCCCAAAAUUGGUGUAAGAAAAAAAAACUAAUAAAAUAAAUAAAUAGAAAUAUUUAUAAGUGGGUGUUUUGAAGUUAUGAAACCCUUGGGGAUUAUUUGGUCUUCCUUUCCUUGUGCAUAUUCAACUAAAGGAAUUAAAGUAGUCAAAUGGCAAAUAAAUAAAUACGUGAAUGUGCAUUUCAUGCUGGAGAUCUUGUUUGAUUGCAUGUGUACUCAAAUUUUUGAGACAAGUUAAGUUUGAAAAGUAGAAUUUGUAACACCCAAUAAUACUAUUUUCGGAUUUAUGAAAAAAAUGCUCCCAAGGUUUUGAAUCAAAAUAUGUUCUAAUAAGAAUUUUCUUACCUACGAAACUACUCUUGAAAUAAAUGUGCUUCUAAUAGAAUAUUAAAUAAAAAAAUUCUUAUAUGAAUUAAAAUUACCCUAUGUAUAAUUAUAUAUAUUUAGGAAUAUUCACUAAAAUAUUUAAUAAAAAGUAUUUAUUCAUAAAGGAUCUACAUUAGAAAUUGUUACUUUUGUGUGCAUAAAUUAUAUAUUUAACGCAUUUUUCUUAAUUGAUUAAAAUAGUAAAUAAGUAAAUAGAAGUAUAUUUUUUCAUUCGUAUUGGAGAUUUUGAUUCUACAUUUUUUUAUAAAAAACUUCAACACAGAUUUAACGUGAAACAAAUGAAAUAGAAAAAAAUAAAACAGAAAAAAAACAAAAGAGAAUAAACAACGUGGCGUGUGCGUGAGAAUAAACAACCUGCCCACAACCACUUCUAUCGUUUUUUUUAUUUUAUUCUCCAGCCAGACGUUUGCAUGUCUGCACGUAUUUUCUCUCUGUCCGUUGAAAUCGCUGGCAGUUGGAGACAAUUUGUCAGGAUAUUAUUCUCCCUUCGUCGUAACAGACCGCACACAUAUAUCGGCAAGUUCUGUUGAUCGCGCUGUUAACCAUAGCUAUCUGAUCUCUUCUUCUUUGGGUAUAAAUAUUUUGGAUGCCUCGUUUCCACGCCAUCUGCGCAGAACCUGCUAGCAUCCACCGAGAGCAAGGUCACAGCCACCAAUACCGCCACGAACUCGCGCUUAGUGAGAGAGACCGUGGGAGCAGGAAUUGCCGUUCCUGUUUCUUGGAAUUCUUCUCCCGUUCAGGCGUUCAUCCCUCUUUCUCUCCUGGCGACGAAGACGGCCGACGCCCUAUGCCAGGUGCCAUGUUCCGUCGGGUCCAUGGUGGGAAGCUGCGGCAAGCAAGUCUUCCCUCGCGAACCCGCUCGGCCAUCGCUUAACCAUCCGGUGAGACACCCCCUUCGUAACCGCCUUGCUUCGAUUUCGUUUUCGCGCAUCACCAUGGGAACGUUGUCACCGGAGCUAGCGAAUUUGGUGGCGCGCUGGUGAGGGCUCCGCUGGUUGGGGCGAUUCCCGGCCGUUGCUGCGCGUGAGGUUGAAGAGGGUACGGCUACCGUCCAUCUCGCGAUGGGCGUUUGUGAUUAAAAGCGAAUAUACUCCUUUGGUGAAGGGACCUGAGCCAUUGGAUAAGGAGUGGACGGGCAUGAUUGUGGAUGGACAGGGUCCGUUGGAUUGGAGUUGUAGGUUCAGGAUUAGAACUUUGUGUACCCCUUCACGUAUUUAAUCUGGACCAUCCGGAAUAGAUCGAACGGUCAGAAUACAACCGUAUCCCUUCGCCGAAGCUAGUUUACAAAAGAGCCCCUCUGUUUUAUUAGUAUUAACCCACCGUCCAACUCAGGGAUUUCUGAGUCUGCUUAAAUCUUGCGGGUUAGCCCCUGAUCUUUUAAGAAAUAUUGAGCUAGUCCAGAACACUUAGGAUAUUCAGAAAUUAAUAAAGAAAUAGGUUUUUAGUAUGAAAAUAAUUCUAUAAACUUGUAUAAUUCAUAGUUAAUUCAUUUUAGCUCCAAAUUGAGUCAUUCCAGUCUCUAUAAUUUUGUAUUAAUAAUGUUUAUCACCUAAUACCUUUGUUUAACCAUGAAACUUGAAUUAAAAUUGCUCAAUUGAAUUAAUCUAUUCUAGGUGCUAAAUAAUUUCAGAAAUUCAUAACUCAAUAAUCAUAACUCUGUUUUGAUCCAUUCUAGUUGCAUUAGUCUCACAAUAAUAUUUAUUAUUAUCUUGUAACUUUGUUUUGUCAUGAAAUAUAGGUUAAAAUGUUGCACUUAGUCUAUUCUAUAUUUAACCACGUGGAUCUUCAGAAAACCAUAACUUCAUAACCGUAGCCCCGAAUUUAGCGGUUCUCGAUCCCACGAUCUCGUAGCGACGCGUAGAUUAUUAUUACUCAGUUAUUCUUAUGUAUGGUGUAAUGUUAAUUUUGCCUAUGCCAUGUUUGUUUGUAUUGCUACGUUUAGCAGUGAGGCACGUGUCAUCUGAAGAGCAAGUGGUACCUGGAAUCUCAAGUGCCAAGCAAGUUGUGCCCUUGAUCACUUCUUUUACCCACUCAUGUUCUAAUUAAUCAUAAUGAUCUGCAUAGGUUAAUUUUGAUGGGACCUAAUAGGUUACCCUAGUUUGAUUAUCUUUAUACCUUGUUUACCACUGAACUUUUUGGGUAGUACUUGCUAGUGCUUUAAUGUGGUUUUGGGUAUGAAGAUACAUUAUUCAUGAUCACACUGUUAUUAUCUGUUUAUUAUUACUGUUCAUGAUAAGAUCAUUAUGUUAAUUGGAACAUGGAGAACCACCCGGGAAAACAGUGCUACCACAAGGGAGGAAUGGGACCCCUUGGCUGAUUAAUUAGGAAAGCUAGUGGAAGACUACCUUACCCGAAAGGGGCAAGGGCAGUAGGGGAGUGGUCAGUGUAGGGAGGCCCUCGGGAGGAUUUUGCUGCGAUGGCGGUCCUGCAAGGGAUUCCUGCAUUGGAGCUUCCUAUAAACUGUAGCGGGUUUUCUGAAGCUAGUGGAACUUUGUAAAAGCCUCGUAGUGUUACCCUGCCUCGCCUCCUCGGUAGAGGUGUAUGGGAAGUCGUGAUCCCUUGGCAGAUGGGUAACAUGACUUGUGGGUAAAGAUGCGCAACCUUUGCAGAGUGUAAAACUGGUAUACUAGCCGUGCUCACGGUCAUGAGCAGCUCGGACACUCACAUGAUUAAAUUAUGGAACUUAAACUCAAUUUGUCAUAUGCAUUACAUCGCAGGUGAGGUUGUUACUUUUGUUCUACUAUUUAAAUGGGUUGGUAUUUACUUAUACUUAGUAAUUGCUAAUAAAAUUUUGACCAACUUUAAAAGCAAUGCUCAGCUUUAACCAUCCUCUUUGGUAAGCCUUACACUUCACGUGAGCUCCCACCUUUAGCGAGUUCAUGCACAUUAUUCCCCACAACUUGUUGGGCGAUGAACGUAUGUGAGCUCACUCUUGCUGUCUCACACGCCCCCACAGGUCAAGAGCAGGUACCACAGGAUGAGGCGCGUGGAGGAUGCUGUGAUGAGUUCGUGAGUGGUCUAGGCCGUCGUCUCCCAGUCAACUUUGGGUUGCUGGACCGUUGUCUCCUUAUAAUGUAAUUAUUUAUUUUGUAUAGAACUCCUGUUAUAUAUAAAGAUGUGACAUUCGAUCCUGUGCCACUAUACAUCAUAUGUGUGAGACUUGGUCCCAGCAUAUCUGGUGUUUAUGUUCGCGCCCGGGUCUUGGUGCCCCUAAAACCCGGGUGUGACAGAAGUGGUAUCAGAGGAAUGUUGACUGUAGGACGAAACCUAGAUAGAACUGGACAACCAUUGUCUACUUACCUUUGCUACUCUGAUUCUUUUCUAAACUUACCUUAAUCUUUUCUCAUCUAUUUCCGCUUUACUCUGAUUAUUCUUACCUUUUCCUUCUAAAGACAAAUGUGGAUUUCACACUUUGAAAUCCUGUGCCUAAAGUGACUUUUUGGAAUAGAAGACCUAAUCUUAGGAAAAAAAUAAAAACUAUUUUUGUAGGUAUCUAUAUACUUGAAUGUCUGUUCUUAUGAUACUUGUCUGAUUUGGAUCUUUGAUUGAGUGUGAUGGGUUGUGGAGUAAUGUCCACAAUUACAUCUGCAUAUACAUAUAGGAAAUAAAUGCUUAUAAAAAUAAGUAGACAAACUAAAUUAUUUCCUCAUUAAAGUAUCUAGCCUAACAAUACCCAUCUCAUCUUAAAAGAUUCUAUCCAUCUUAUCUCAAAAGAUUCUACCUUAUCCUUAUGGAUUCAUCUUGCCCUAAUUAGUAUAUUUAUUCCACUCUAGAAUAACAACCAUGAGCUAACCCAAAAUCUAUUUAGAUCUUAUCUAGUCUAAAAUAGUCAUAUCAAUUUAUUCUAGAUCUGAUCCAACCUAAUAGGUUAAUCUAACCUAACGAAGUCUAACCUUAAGUUGAGCUAACCUAAGGACGGUCACUUAACCAGUUAACACUAGUGAAAAAUUGGAUCCUACUCCUAUAAACCUUGUUCUCCCCUCACGCACUUAAACCUAAAUUAGUGCAUUAGAACAACUCAACUGUGAGCAUAAGAGCUAACCCAACCAUAGAAUCUUGAGGGAUUGCAUAAUCUGUCUACCCUCACCUGACAUCAAACAAGAUUUUGACCUAUAUCAUGUAGUCUAUAUCAUCCAUAUCUAUCUUAACCAUAUUUCCUAACUCCAAUGAUAUACACUAACCUCGAAUCAAUGAGGCCAAGACCGGAGAAGAAAAGGUCAACUUCGUCAAGGAAGGACAGAAGUCACACUAGAUCUUCCAAUGUGCCAGGAUCCACCUUUCGGGAUGGAGUCAAUUCUUUCCAUAACCUCUCUUGCCACAACAUGUUCUCACUCUAACCAUCUCCCAUCUUACCAAUUCGAUGGCUAGGCAAAAAAAAUUCUUUUGAUGUUGGGACCAAUUAGGAGAUAAAAGCUACAUUAUAAACCAAACUUCCUAUACUAAUCUCGAGGGCGAGAUUAUUUUUAAGGGGGGUAGAAUUUGUAAAGCCCAAAAUUGGUGUAAGAAAAAAAACUAAUAAAAUAAAUAAAUAGAAAUAUUUAUAAGUGGGUGUUUUGAAGUUAUGAAACCCUUGGGGAUUAUUUGGUCUUCCUUUCCUUGUGCAUAUUCAACUAAAGGAAUUAAAGUAGUCAAAUGGCAAAUAAAUAAAUACGUGAAUGUGCAUUUCAUGCUGGAGAUCUUGUUUGAUUGCAUGUGUACUCAAAUUUUUGAGACAAGUUAAGUUUGAAAAGUAGAAUUUGUAACACCCAAUAAUACUAUUUUUGGAUUUAUGAAAAAAAUGCUCCCAAGGUUUUGAAUCAAAAUAUGUUCUAAUAAGAAUUUUCUUACCUACGAAACUACUCUUGAAAUAAAUGUGCUUCUAAUAGAAUAUUAAAUAAAAAAAUUCUUAUAUGAAUUAAAAUUACCCUAUGUAUAAUUAUAUAUAUUUAGGAAUAUUCACUAAAAUAUUUAAUAAAAAGUAUUUAUUCAUAAAGGAUCUACAUUAGAAAUUGUUACUUUUGUGUGCAUAAAUUAUAUAUUUAACGCAUUUUUCUUAAUUAAUUAAAAUAGUAAAUAAGUAAAUAGAAGUAUAUUUUUUCAUUCGUAUUGGAGAUUUUGAUUCUACAUUUUUUUUAUAAAAAACUUCAACACAGAUUUAACGUGAAACAAAUGAAAUAGAAAAAAAUAAAACAGAAAAAAAAACAAAAGAGAAUAAACAACGUGGCGUGUGCGUGAGAAUAAACAACCUGCCCACAACCACUUCUAUCGUUUUUUUUAUUUUAUUCUCCAGCCAGACGUUUGCAUGUCUGCACGUAUUUUCUCUCUGUCCGUUGAAAUCGCUGGCAGUUGGAGACAAUUUGUCAGGAUAUUAUUCUCCCUUCGUCGUAACAGAUCGCACACAUAUAUCGGCAAGUUCUGUUGAUCGCGCUGUUAACCAUAGCUAUCUGAUCUCUUCUUCUUUGGGUAUAAAUAUUUUGGAUGCCUCGUUUCCACGCCAUCUGCGCAGAACCUGCUAGCAUCCACCGAGAGCAAGGUCACAGCCACCAAUACCGCCACGAACUCGCGCUUAGUGAGAGAGACCGUGGGAGCAGGAAUUGCCGUUCCUGUUUCUUGGAAUUCUUCUCCCGUUCAGGCGUUCAUCCCUCUUUCUCUCCUGGCGACGAAGACGGCCGACGCCCUAUGCCAGGUGCCAUGUUCCGUCGGGUCCAUGGUGGGAAGCUGCGGCAAGCAAGUCUUCCCUCGCGAACCCGCUCGGCCAUCGCUUAACCAUCCGGUGAGACACCCCCUUCGUAACCGCCUUGCUUCGAUUUUUUUUUCGCGCAUCACCAUGGGAACGUUGUCACCGGAGCUAGCGAAUUUGGUGGCGCGCUGGUGAGGGCUCCGCUGGUUGGGGCGAUUCUCGGCCGUUGCUGCGCGUGAGGUUGAAGAGGGUACGGCUACCGUCCAUCUCGCGAUGGGCGUUUGUGAUUAAAAGCGAAUAUACUCCUUUGGUGAAGGGAUCUGAGCCAUUGGAUAAGGAGUGGACGGGCAUGAUUGUGGAUGGACAGGGUCCGUUGGAUUGGAGUUGUAGGUUCAGGAUUAGAACUUUGUGUACCCCUUCACGUAUUUAAUCUGGACCAUCCGGAAUAGAUCGAACGGUCAGAAUACAACCGUAUCCCUUCGCCGAAGCUAGUUUACAAAAGAGCCCCUCUGUUUUAUUAGUAUUAACCCGCCGUCCAACUCAGGGAUUUCUGAGUCUGCGUAAAUCUUGCGGGUUAGCCCCUGAUCUUUUAAGAAAUAUUGAGCCAGUCCAGAACACUUAGGAUAUUCAGAAAUUAAUAAAGAAAUAGGUUUUUAGUAUGAAAAUAAUUCUAUAAACUUGUAUAAUUCAUAGUUAAUUCAUUUUAGCUCCAAAUUGAGUCAUUCCAGUCUCUAUAAUUUUGUAUUAAUAAUGUUUAUCACCUAAUACCUUUGUUUAACCAUGAAACUUGAAUUAAAAUUGCUCAAUUGAAUUAAUCUAUUCUAGGUGCUAAAUAAUUUCAGAAAUUGAUAACUCAAUAAUCAUAACUCUGUUUUGAUCCAUUCCAGUUGCAUUAGUCUCACAAUAAUAUUUAUUAUUAUCUUGUAACUUUGUUUUGUCAUGAAAUAUAGGUUAAAAUGUUGCACUUAGUCUAUUCUAUAUUUAACCACGUGGAUCUUCAGAAAACCAUAACUUCAUAACCGUAGCCCCGAAUUUAGCGGUUCUGGAUCCCACGAUCUCGUAGCGACGCAUAGAUUAUUAUUACUCAGUUAUUCUUAUGUAUGGUGUAAUGUUAAUUUUGCCUAUGCCAUGUUUGUUUGUAUUGCUACGUUUAGCAGUGAGGCACGUGUCAUCUGAAGAGCAAGUGGUACCUGGAAUCUCAAGUGCCAGGCAAGUUGUGCCCUUGAUCACUUCUUUUACCCACUCAUGUUCUAAUUAAUCAUAAUGAUCUACAUAGGUUAAUUUUGAUGGGACCUAAUAGGUUACCCUAGUUUGAUUAUCUUUGUACCUUGUUUACCACUGAACUUUUUGGGUAGUACUUGCUAGUGCUUUAAUGUGGUUUUGGGUAUGAAGAUACAUUAUUCAUGAUCACACUGUUAUUAUCUGUUUAUUAUUACUGUUCAUGAUAAGAUCAUUAUGUUAAUUGGAACAUGGAGAACCACCCGGGAAAACAGUGCUACCACAAGGGAGGAAUGGGACCCCUUGGCUGAUUAAUUAGGAAAGCUAGUGGAAGACUACCUUACCCGAAAGGGGCAAGGGCAGUAGGGGAGUGGUCAGUGUAGGGAGGCCCUCGGGAGGAUUUUGCUGCGAUGGCGGUCCUGCAAGGGAUUCCUGCAUUGGAGCUUCCUAUAAACUGUAGCGGGUUUUCUGAAGCUAGUGGAACUUUGUAAAUGCCUCGUAGUGUUACCCUGCCUCGCCUACUCGGUAGAGGUGUAUGGGAAGUCGCGAUCCCUUGGCAGAUGGGUAACAUGACUUGUGGGUAAAGAUGCGCAACCUCUGUAGAGUGUAAAACUGGUAUACUAGUGUGCUCACGGUCAUGAGCAGCUCGGACACUCACAUGAUUAAAUUAUGGAACUUAAACUCAAUUUGUCAUAUGCAUUGCAUCGCAGGUGAGGUUGUUACUUUUGUUCUACUAUUUAAAUGGGUUGGUAUUUACUUAUACUUAGUAAUUGCUAAUAAAAUUUUGACCAACUUUAAAAGCAAUGCUCAGCUUUAACCAUCCUCUUUGGUAAGCCUUACACUUCACAUGAGCUCCCACCUUUGGCGAGUUCAUGCACAUUAUUCCCCACAACUUGUUGGGCGAUGAACGUAUGUGAGCUCACUCUUGCUGUCUCACACGCCCCCACAGGUCAAGAGCAGGUACCACAGGAUGAGGCGCGUGGAGGAUGCUGUGAUGAGUUCGUGAGUGGUCUAGGCCGUCGUCUCCCAGUCAACUUUGGGUUGCUGGACCGUUGUCUCCUUAUAAUGUAAUUAUUUAUUUUGUAUAGAACUCCUGUUAUAUAUAAAGAUGUGACAUUCGAUCCUGUGCCACUAUACAUCAUAUGUGUGAGACUUGGUCCCAGCAUAUCUGGUGUUUAUGUUCGCGCCCGGGUCUUGGUGCCCCUAAAACCCGGGUGUGACAUCUUGAUAGUCACCGCAUUGAAAGGGCGGUAAUCAACACACAUUCUCAAACUCUCAACCUUUUUCUUCACAAAUAAAGCAGGACAUCCCCAUGGUGAAGUACUUGGGCGAAUAAACCCCUUGUCCAACAACUCCUGCAGUUGCUUUUUCAAUUCUGCCAAUUCCACGGGAGGCAUCCUAUAGGGCCUCUUGGAGAUAGGAGCAGUCCCGGGUUGCAACUCAAUGGCGAACUCAAUGUCUCUAUCGGGUGGCAUUCCCGGCAAUUCAUCUGGAAAAUCAUCUGGGUAGUCACAAACCACUGGGAUCUUUUCCACUGGGGAUUCUAUCAUAACGAAAGCACAAGAACGGGUACAACCCUGAUCAGGCAAAUAUAAAACAGUCUCGCCAUAAGCAGGGGAGUGAAUUUCAAUGGCCCUCGCUGCAAUAUCCAAUACUGCCUGAUGCCUAGUCAACCAGUCAGUUCCCAAUAAAAUAUCCACGCUAUCCAAUCAUAAGAUGAGAAGGGUGGUUCUAAUCACAAGACUACCAAAUUUUUUAGGCACUUGCCUAUUGAUUUGGUAGGUGGCAACCCUGCCUCCUGGUGUUGAAAUUGUGAUACCCCCAUUGGUGUGGUGAAAAGGUAACUGGCACUUGGCACUAAAUUUGGCACUGAUAAAACUAUGUGAUGCACCAGAAUCAAAAAGAAUAAUAGCAGGAUAAUUCAAAACUGUAAAGAUACCAGUCAUGACGGGUGCUCCCUCUGGAAUAUCAGCCAUGGUGGUGAAGUUCAGUCGGCCUUGCCUCACUUGCACCUUCUGUCUCUUGCCUUGGUUCUGGUUAACAUUCUGCCCCUGCCUCUGCUGGUUUCUGGGGCAAUUCUUGGCAUAAUGUCCGGUGUUGCCACAUGUGAAACACCUGUUGUCAAUUGCCUGUUGAUACUGCUGCUGCUGUUGAUUGUUCCUCUGAGUUGGAAACUGGGUGCGGUUGGGUGCCUGCUGCUGCUGCUGUGGUCGGAUCACCCAACGUCCUUGCUGCUGCUGAGGUCCCCUGUUCUGAGUGUCAGACACAAUCCUGAAGCGCUAUGGCUGAGCUGAAGGUCCUGCCACAGGGGUCUUCCUUUUCUUUUCUGCCUAACGAGCUGUGAUACAGUCCUCCUGGGAGAUGGCCAUGUUGACCAACUCAUUAUAGUUGUUGGCCCUGAUGGUGUUGAGACGGUCACGGAACUUAGUGCUGAGCCCCCUCCUGAACCUGUCUCUCAUCUUCUCGUCCGUGUCUGCAUGAUACCCAGCAUACUGGCACAGGUCAUUAAAAGCCAGAGCAUACUGCAACACUGUCCUGUUGCCCUAAGUGAGUGCCAGAAACUCGUUGAGCUUUCGGUCCAUAAUUCCGGCUGGUAUAUGGUGCCCCCUUAAAGCUGCCUUGAACUCUCUCCAUUCCACCUCUCUGUCAUCUGGCUGCAUAGCAAGAAAAUGGUCCCACCAUGUCCUUGCGGGUCCGCGAAGCUGCUGGGUGGCGAACCUGACCUUACUGACCUCUGAGCAAACUCCGUGGAGUAGCGGGAAUUUGGAUUCUACUACUCUCAACCAUACAUCCGCAUCAAGUGGGUCCUCUGCCCUGGUGAACAAUGGAGGCUGGGUACUGAGGAACUCCUGAUAGGUGGCUGCCGCGGGGUGACGCUGAUGAUCUCCACCACCAUAGUGCUGAGGUGUUGGCUGACGCUGAGCUAGCUGCCUCAAGAUCUCAUUCUGCUGAGCCAUUAGCUCCUGCAGAGUGGGAGGCGGUGGCGGCGGUGGAGGAACGCGCUCAUUCUGGCCACGACGUGCUCUCCCGGCCAUCUGAAAAAUCACAUAUUUUCUUAAUAACACAUCUUCAAGUUUCAAGGUCCAGUCGCGAAGAAAAAGUCAAAAGGCAAAGUGAUAGAUUCUUGCAUAAACAUAAAGGAUUUCACAAGGCAUAAACUUUUCUUCCCAAAUUAAGACUAACAUCAUCCAUCAACCAUGCUUCCAAAAGAGUGUAUCAUGAUUACAUCAACGGCCCAAAAGACUCAACUCUAUCUAGCCUAGUACCCCAAGGGUGCAAAAGCUAAGCUAGCUUUGAGGAGUCCCACCAUUACCGACUUCUAGCCCUACCCCUGAACCUAGUGAGCGAACGAGGCAACACUCGACCCGGGGGAAGGUGGUCUCCCUGAGCCAGCAGUGUCCAAGCUGGAGGCAGGCUCCUCUCCUCCCUCAAUGUCGACGUCCUCGUUGGCCUCCAUGUCCUGGAUCUCCUGGUGAUGCAUAUCCAGGUGCUCAUUAGCCUCGGCAAGCUGCUGCUGGGUGUUAAUAAGCUGAUCCUCGAGAACCUCUAUGGUGUUCUCCCUGGUCCCCACUAAUUCCUCCAGCUCUUGGAUCUCAUUGGACAGCUGCUCCACCUGCAAGUCCUUUUCCACCAUCUCAGUGGACAAAUCAACCACAAGCUCCUCUCUGUUGUCUAGGGUGAUCUUUGUUGCCUCCAACAAUGCCAUCAGAUGGGACAUCGCCUCACCGCGCAUCACUUGCAGACGGUACAGGGCAUUCAUGCACCGCACUGUCAAGUGAGCAGUCUGACCUGGGUAGAUAGCCCAGAUGUCCUUGGCAUGCUCCACCCGAUCCUUCCACAUUGGGUCGUCCUCCCUCUCCGCGGGGAACAAGCCAAUGGGGUGGGUGGACAACUCCAAGGGAUGGAAUCCACAGAAAGUGGUCAACUCGUGCAGAGCAAUCGCCUCAAUCGUGUCCUCAGCCCAGUAUCCAAAGGACUCAGAGUCCAGCGAACGUCAGCCUGGCUGCAGGGGAUGAGGCUCCAAGGUCAUCCUCACCCUACAACGAGGCACUCGGUGCUUCUCGAACUUCUGCACCGCGUACUGAGGAGGUGUCGUGUAUCCGGCCCCCUGAAGUACCUCCCACAAAAUGCGGGGAAAGCCCUCUCGUGCAAGCCCAUCAGUGUGGGACAGUGCAUUCCCGUCGUCUGAGGAUCCGUGGGAAGUCAUCUGUGUACGGUUAAGCGUAAGUAAAAGAAAAAGAAUUGUAAAAAGAAAAAGGAAACACAACUCAGCCUCUCUCUCUAAUUAUGACAAUGGUACUGAGGUACUUGGUUGGUCAUCAUUUUGUAUUAAAGUCCUUACUCAAUUAUCCAUUUGUUUAAUUUAAGAAUGCAUGCUCGUCCUGAACGACCUCACAUCAAUGUAAAGGGAAUAGGGAAGGACUCCCAUCCCUUAUAGUCGCCGGUAAGGCUUAAUCACUUAGCCACCUAACUACCCCUCUAUCAUCCUAAGGCUUCACGUCCUAGGUCUAUCCUGAUCGUCCUACGAUCUAUCCAACAUUGUUUCUAUCAAGUUUUACUUCGGAAAAGGAUGGUAUUUAUAUUUUAUUGAUUCCUCUGUGGUGGUACAAGCUCUGAUACCAGCUGUGGCGGAGCUGCCCGAAUUAUUCUGACUUAAGUGCCUAGGUCCCACCUUAGAGGCUAGACCACACUUAAAUGGGAAUAACCCGUCAAUCCCUCGGAUCUAGUCUGACGAGGCCACUGACAGGAUCAAGUACCACAAUCUCACUCGAGGGUGAGUCACAGAGCAAAUACAAUAAAACGUAAAACCAUACAUUAAGGAAUAUUAAAUUAUUACAUCACCAUCGGAGUUUUGCAAAAGUAGUCAUCAUUGUUCGAAGUGCAGCGGAAUAAAACUAACGAUAGAUAAAUGGAGGGAUGGGGAAGCCUGUCCCAUCACUCCUCAUGCUCCUCUUCAGUCGAGGCGGGGUCCCACUCGACAGUCCAACCCAGUGGCAAGAUGGAUGGCCAAGUCACUCCAGCAACCAUGUCCUCCAAAGAACCUGUAAAAUUGUGCCACAAGCAAGGCUGAGUAUACUAAUACUCAGCUAGACUUACCCGGUGUGAGGAGUCUACUCCUCUACCUCUAGACAUGCAGCUGUUUGGCUGUGGGGUUUGGUUGCCAAAAGCACUAGCUGAGUUCUAAAUCAAGUUUUAGCUUUGUCAAAUUUAAGUGUGACUCUCUUAAGGCUAAAUAUGUACUAUCUACUCAUACAUAGUAGCAAACAUUUUUAGCAAUCAACAUCUUGUAUCAACUCAUUUCCACUUGUUACUUAGUGCAGUACAAUAGAUCAAGCAGUCUCAUUAGCUGCGAGAAGCAGACGAUUCGAAUCGAGUUUUUAUCCUUGCAAGGUAAACCUAAACACACGACAUGGCGAGGCACUCCGUCCCCACACACAUCAACCAUCCCCAUCGAUUCCCCGUCAGCAGAGAGGGGCUCACCUCCUUUGCGUACAAUGCCUCACUGACCCCGACUAUCGUCGUGCAGUAACCGCACUUGUACCCACCAUAACCGGAAUGGGAGACCAUGUCUCAGGUCGCAUGAGGAGGGCAAUCUGCUGCCAGGUUCAAUCAGGUACUAGACUUAUCGAUUUACCAUAUUUCUCGGUAUGUGUUUAGUACGUUCAAACGCUUGACACAGGUAUCUGCACGUUAAUCCUUAUUCCAAUUUCCCGUCUCGUAGACAACCAAUCCCCAUGGAUUGUUGUCCACAUACUAGUAUCAUGAUGAUAUGAAAGUGGGUACAACCAAUUCCUGAUCUCGCGCGAGUGCUAGAAAAAUCACUCGUCUUCUACCGAGAUCCUAAUUAAAUAAAGCAGCUACUCGACCUAGCAUACUAGUAUUUAUCUCAAAAGGAAUCCUGAGAUCAUGCAACUAGGGUUUCAGUCAACUCCUACACCUAAGUGCACAAUCGAUCCUACAAUCAUUAAGUAUAGUAAAAUAGCAUAAGUAACAGGUUAUGCAUAAACCGGGGCUUGCCUUCCAAGGCAGUGGCAGGCAGAUCCUCUGGUGCAGGCUCUGGUGCUUGAUCUGGGGCUAGCUCCUGAGCAGCUCCUUGCUCCGGCACGAGGACGUACUCUCCGUCAGCGAGGUUACAGUCUAUCGAAAUGCAAUGAAUAUGUAUGUCAUGAUUAUGCAGGAUUUAAUAACAUUAUGCUAAAGGAAGAAAAACUAAGUUAGUUGGCAACUUAGGGUUUCUUGGUCAUACGUGGCUUUUAGUGGUUUAUGCUUAUCACUCCAAGUUUAGGUUUUGUUAAUGAUAAGCAUAGUGGAUUGGUAUUUCCUUUAUAUAUUUCAGUGGACAAUUUACAAAGGGUUUUAGGAUGACACUAAUUUCCAUUAUUCAUUUUCCCUUUCUUUAUUUUCUAUUUAUGAAUUCUAGUGUAGGUUUGAACUACAACAGUGAAUUAACUCUUUCCAAAAAUUCUCUAAAAAUUUUAGUGGCUUGCCAUUGGUCAAUAUAGCCUGUUCUAGGAAUUUGAGGUUCAAAAUAAAAAGGCUAUGCUCUAGACAAAAAUAACAAAAGUUGUGUAAAUGGGCCACUUUGCAUUACAACUGUUAAUUAGGGGUGGGUUCUGUCCUAAGGGUUAUUUUUGUUGGCAUCUAACAGUAAUAAUAAGCUUUUGUGCCAAAAAUCACAGAAAGCUAAGGGAUGGUUAUUUAGUUGUGAUUUUCCAAAGUUUAAUGCCAAAAAGGCACUUUCCACUACCUUGUUAUUUGAAAAAUGUCAAACAGCAGAUUUCAUAUUUUUCCUAUGUUCUUCAUAACAAAAGAUUAACUAUCCCAAACGUUGGGGUUUUUUCACCUUGGGGUUAUUUUUGUAGGGUUUUUCUAAGUUUUCCUUGUUUUCUUAAAAUAAAAGGUAUCCUAUUUAUUUUAUACUAAACCAGGGUAUAAUCAAUUUUUCUAGUAAACUAUACUGAACAAGUAUAUAUACUAACAAAAAUAUGGAGGCUCCCUGGUUCUUUAUUUAAAUCACCUUUCCUAUUUUCUUUAACCUUAAGCAUAAUGUAAAAUAAAUGGCAAACUCUACCUCAAUGGGGUGUACAGAGGGGUUUAGCAUUUUUAAAUAGGUCAGUAGGUGGUCAUGCACUUCUCCAAAUUUUCUUAACCUCAGUUAAAUAGUGCAACUAUUUUUCUUCCUAUUAUUUAGCUUUUGGUCAAAUCAGUAUUUAAUUCAGAAUCCUAAAGUUUUCUAUAGCACAUAGGGGUUUUAUAUUUUUCUUCAGUAGUUUAUAUUAUUUAAGAUCUGACAAAAUUGGUUUGACUCAAUUUGGAUGAAUAAAAUAGAAGAUAUGAAUUAUUCAAGUGUUGUUUAUAUUUAAAAUCAGAUUUAAUUACAGGUUUUCUGGAAAACCACUUUGCACCGAAGUCCUCGGGUUAUUUCCAAACUAACUCUCUCAGUUAUACCCCCGCGCUACUAUUCAUCCGAGUCACUGACAUUGCGCAAAACCCCCUAGCUUUCUCUUCUUCUCCCCCGCGGUCCCUCCCUAGGUUUAAACAAUACCCGCGAGAAGAAAAGGGUGGCGCGGCUUACCGGCGGCGAGAGAGGUCCGGCGAGGGGCGGAGUUGGCUCCGGGAGGUUCUGGCGGUCACAACGGUGUACGGCUUGACGGAGGGGGUGGCCGGAAUCGCCCGGUCCACGUGCGCAAGCGGGUGCUCUCGUCGGCGGCGGGAGCUCCGGCCAAACCACGGCGAUCUAGUUCAAUCCAAAGGCACAGUGAGCUUCACGGGGUGACGUAGAGGCUGUGUGCACAAGGAAUCGAAGAAUGGAGUAGAGGAUUACCCGGUCUACACUCGCCGGCGGUCGGAUGGAGUCCGGCGACCGUGGACUGGCCUCUCCGGCGAAGCAAACUCCGAUUCCUCUCUCGGGGAGCUUCACCGAGGUGUGCUCAGUCUUCUCUGAGGGCUGGACGGGGUUGGGAAGGGUCCUAUUGGCCGGUCUACGGUGGCAGGGGGAUCGGGCGGCCGUGGACACGCUCUGCACGGGCAAACGCCGGUGGGGUUGGGCUCCGGUGAGGUCGAGCGCGUGCGGAGGGGUACAGUCAAGGUCCCUGGGGGCUUUAUAGGCGCGGGCGCGGGCCAUGGUGCCGGCUGGGCUUUGGCGCGACGCGGGGCAUGCGGGGCGCGCGUCGGGCGUGCUCUGGCGAGCCCAGAGUGCGUCGAACACGUGGUCGUUGCUUUCUGCCCUUGUUCUUGCGCCUGCUGAGCAGCCAAACGUGCGAAUCUCGCCCUAUGGCUUGUGUAAGAUUUCUUCCCUGCACCUAUGGCUACCUAGUUCAUGUAAGUUCCAAGGGAAGAUCGGGUCUGGUUUAGAAGAUAUGGUGGCGCCAAGUCUUGUCUGUCUGCACUGUUCAACCCGAGACAAAACAGGUGCCAACUCGUGACAAACGGUCUUGGCUUGGGUUCAAACUCUUCCAGGGGUUCCUUAGAUAAUUUAGUUCCUUUUUGCUAUUUAGACCCUGGGGUUUUGGUGCCAUUAGCUAGGUGAACACCCCUGAUCUCUAGAUUAGGGCUGAUUUUGGACUUAGAGGGAAUGGGUGUGAUUCCAUAUUGUUCUCUACUUGGGGGCUGAUUUAGGGGUGUUAUAGGGGUCUUUUUGUAUUGUUCCUUUGCUAUCUUUUGUAAACAUUUUGGUACUCUUAAACUUUGGUUAAGGUUUAAAUUAUGAAAUGUGCAUUUGCCUAAUCUUUCUCUCAACUAAAGGCUUCAAGAGAGGGGGGGUCCAAGGUUCAAUCCUCCCUUGCCCUAGGUGAUCAUUGCCUAAAAGCUUGGGUAAUACUUUGGUCCUUGGCAUUACUUAACUCACUCAUGCUUCCAAGGUCUUAAGUACUCCCUCUCCUCCAAGUUUUAACCACAUGUAAUAAUAGGUAUAUGUGCCAUUAGGAAGCCAACACCUUGGUAACACCUGGGGUGUUACACGUAGCAUCACUUUAUUCAAAGUUUAGGCCAUAGUUCGCCGGUUUAGCUUUGGCCGGACAUGGUCGCCGCCACGGGUCUGGCGCGGCGCCGUCGUAUUACGGUGUCUGUUGGGGCAGGGGGCUCUCUGGCCAUGGAUUUCGCGGUGAACGACUGAGAUUAGAAUUUGCAUACCGUUUCACUCGGUGCGAUCCUGGCCAUUAGAAUGAGAUCGGAGGGUUCAUGAUUGAUUAUGACGUAGAUGCAACGUGGGCCGUGUGAUUGAAAUCCGAGGGCUCGUAUAACAUGCCACUUGUUCAUGUGUGGGGAUUCGAUCUGGGCGUCCAUUUCUAAUCGGGCGGAUGGCAGCCCACGAUACCCCCCUUCGGCCGAUUGAAUUUAUAGAAAGAACCCUCUAUUUUAGGGAAACAAACCCGUGGUCCAUAGGAACUGUACACUGAGUCUUAGGAAUUCUUACACGCUAGCCCCUGUGCUUCUAGUUAAUUGGUGCGCGGUCCAGACAGAUCUAAAAUCUAUAGAAUUUAUUUAGAAAAUGAGUUUUCUAGUAUAUGGCUCUGAUACCUUAAUGUCUCACCAACCAACGGUGUGCAAAGAUUUGGGAUCAAGGGCAAGUUAGCCCCUCGAUACAUUGGACCUUAUGAGAUUGUGGAACUUCGUGGACCAGUAGCUUAUAAGCUCAACUUCCACACAAGAUUUCUGCAAUACAUGAUGUCUUCCAUGUGUCUCAACUAAAGAAGUGCAUUCGAUUAUCGACAGAAGUCAUGGUCGAGGAAGAAAUGGAUAUAAAACCAAACCUUAUGAGGAACAUCCUAUCAAGAUCUUGGACUGCAAAGAGAAAGCCUCUCAAGAAGGCAAUCAAAAUGUUUAAGGUUCAAUGGAGGCAUCACACUGAAAAGGAAGCCACGUGGGAAACUAAGGAAUAUCUGGAUAAGAACUACCCCGAGUUUCUACCUAAGAAUGUUGGUACGUAACCCAUACCCCGUUUUACUCUAUUCCAAUCUUAAGGACAAGAUUAUUUUAAGGAGGUAGAAUGUGAAACCUCAUGUGUUAGCUAGAAGUAUAAACAAAACCACACCACUUAACCCAUUAUCACAUGUGCAUAAAAUAGAGCAAAAUCAUCCAAAGCUAAGGAUCAUGGUUCUAAUGAGGUAAUAAAAAACCUAGAAUACCUAACCCCUCCAUAGUGACCAAAAAGAAUGGAGUAAACCAAAACCCUAAGUUCACACAUAUGAGCAUAGGGACACUUAAAACAAAAUGAUUAAGAAAACUAACCAAAUCACUUAAUCAUAUGAGGACCCUUAACAAAAGUUGUAGAUAAUUAAGUGUACAGCAAAAGUUACCAUAAGCUUAAGCUAUGAAAAUGAAGGGAAGUUACUAAAAAGUGUAAGCCAAAGUGAAACCCUAAAAGAUAUGUAAGAACAUAUACCUAGCCUUAAACUCUUUCUUGUUCUCUAACCUCCAUUCAUCAAAUCACCUAGGUCCAAAUACAAAAAAUGUGUAAGAACAUUUGAUGCACAUCAUAUAAAAAUAUGAAAUCCAAGCCAAAUUGUUUUACACGACUUGGCUUGGUUUUUGCCUCUAUUCUAGCACAUCUCACAAACACUUUUCCCCAAGCUAUAUCUUUUGAUUUGAAUCACAUUUUGGCUUGGGACUUGCACAAAUCUUACAGAUCUCACAAGGAAAAAGAAAUCUUAUGCAAGGAUUAUUGCCAAAUUUGCUAUGGAUAGUGAGCCAAUGGGCAUUUUAAGUGUAGUAGACGACACUACCACAUGUUGGAUGUCAUGUGCCUGCCCGUGCUCGCGUAGUGGCCAUGCCGCACGUGCCCCUGCAUCAGCAAUCGGCAACCACCACCCUGCACUCCCCUCACGCUUAUAAAGCCAGGUCGGACAUGCUAGCACGCUCCCCUCCCUUGCUAAGACUAGCGCUCAGCCUUCUCGGAUCGCUACUCGUCUCUGAUGAGCUCCCCGUGCCCCGCCACUGCCUCCAAGAGCCAGCUACCAAGGCCAGCCAUCCUCGGCCAUCCUCCUCCUAGUCCGACGUUCAAGCCACCAUCCUCGAGGACCCAUGAAGUUUUCCCAAGCUUAUGUUGAAGCUCUACCACAUCGAAGAAGAGGGAUUACCCUCGCUGGACUUUCUCUACCCGCACACACGUGAUGACCGGCCACCACUGACCGUCUCUGCCGAUCAUCGACACCUACUUGUCCAUCGAGACCCCCUUUGCCUCCCUGAUCACCUCACUAGAGUUCCUGUGCCACCGGUAAGCCAUAAUUUCUCGUCCCUUCCUCGUGCACUUUUCCGACGACCGUUCGGACUGCUGGUUGAGUGAGAUAAAAACUUAGAGAGCUAAAUGCAAGGUUAGUGACAUGUAUGAAUAGUUUUCUAGGGGCAUGGUCAAAUAGCUUAGUUCAGGAUAAGUCUAGGGACCCCAGAUUGGUUGAAAUUGAAACCAUUUAGGUUGAAUGCCAUAGUACUAAUACCUAAAGCAGUGAACCAGAUCCCUACUACAGGCCAAGCAGCCAAUAAGAAGUGUAAAGAACGAGAAUUGUUGAAACUAGCAUAUUGGAAGAUUAAUCGACCAAAAUAACCGUGAGCAGCCACAAUAUUAUAAGUAUCUUCUUCCUGACCAAAUUUGUAACCCUCAUUAGUAAACUCAUUUUCAGUGGUUUCCCUGAACAAACUAGAGGUUACCAAGGAACCAUGCAUAGCACUGAAUAGGGAACCGCCGAAUACACCAGCUACACCUAACAUGUGAAAUGGAUGCAUAAGGAUGUUGUGUCUACCUAGAAUACAAUCAUAAAGUUGAAAGUACGAGAUAUUCCUAAAGGCAUGCCAUCAGAGAAACUUCCUUGACCAAUAGGGUAAAUCAAGAAAACAACAGUAGCAGCUGCAACAGGAGCUGAAUAUGCAACAGCAAUCCAAGGGCGCAUACCCAGACAGAAACUAAGUUCCCACUCAUGACCCAUAUAACAAGCUACACCAAGUAAGAAGUGUAGAAUAAUUAGCUCAUAAGGACCACCAUUGUAUAACCAUUCAUCAACAGAUGCAGCUUCCCAAAUUGGGUAAAAAUGCAAUCCGAUCGCCGCAAAAGUAGGAAUAAUAGCACCAGAGAUAAUAUUGUUUCCAUGAAGUAAAGAACCAGAAACAGGCUCACGAAUACCAUCAAUAUCUACUGGAGGAGCAGCGAUGAAGGCGAUAAUAAAUACGGAAGUUGCGGUCAAUAAGGUAGGGAUCAUCAAAACACUAAACCAUCCAAUGUAAAGACGGUUUUCGGUGCUAGUUAUCCAGUUGCAGAAGCGAUCCCAUAGGCUUGUACUUUCGCGUCUCUCUAAAAUUGCAGUCAUGGUAAGAUCUUGGUUUAUUCAAAUUGCAAGGACUCCCAAGCACACGUAUUAACUAGAAAGAAAAUAUAUAAU
rnacentral:lncRNA from 1 species